GAGACAGAGAGACAGAAUGGUGAAGAAACAGAUAGACGGGUCCAUCAAUCAUUCGAUUCAUUCAUUAUUUACACACACACACACGCACACUCCACCCCUUACUCUCUCUUUCUGUCUUUCUCCACUCCUUACUCUCUCUUUCUCCACUCCUUACUCUCUCUUUCUCCACUCCUUACUCUCUCUUUCUCUACUCCUUACUCUCUCUUUCUCCACUCCUUACUCUCUCUUUCUCCACUCCUUACUCUCUCUUUCUCCACUCCUUACUCUCUUUCUCCUCUCCUUACUCUCUCUUUCUCCACUCCUUACUCUCUCUUUCUCCACUCCUUACUCUCUCUUUCUCCACUCCUUACUCUCUCUUUCUCCUCUCCUUACUCUCUCUUUCUCCACUCCUUACUCUCUCUUUCUCCACUCCUUACUCUCUCUCUUUCUCCACUCCUAACUCUCUCUUUCUCCACUCCUUACUCUCUCUCAUUCUCCACUCCUUACUCUCUCUUUCUCCACUCCUUACUCUCUCUUUCUCCACUCCUUACUCUCUCUUUCUGUCUUUCUACACUCCUUACUCUCUCUUUCUGUCUUUCUCCACUCCUUACUCUCUCUUUCUCCACUCCUUACUCUCUCUUUCUCCACUCCUUACUCUCUCUUUCUCUCUUUCUCCACUCCUUACUCUCUCUUUCUGUCUUUCUCCACUCCUUACUCUCUCUUUCUCCACCCCUUACUCUCUCUUUCUCCACCCCUUACUCUCUCUUUCUCUCUUUCUCCACUCCUUACUCUCUCUUUUUGUCUUUCUCCACUCCUUACUCUCUCUUUCUGUCUUUCUAUACUCCUUACUCUCUCUUUCUCCACUCCUUACUCUCUCUUUCUGUCUUUCUCCACUCCUUACUCUCUCUUUCUCCACUCCUUACUCUCUCUUUCUGUCUUUCUCCACUCCUUACUCUCUCUUUCUCCACUCCUUACUCUCUCUUUCUGUCUUUCUCCACUCCUUACUCUCUCUUUCUCCACUUUGUGAACAGAGCUCCGGGAUCAGCUUGCUUAGGGGGCUCUUCUCCAUGUUUAUUUCUCAAUAGGUGA
rnacentral:lncRNA from 1 species